UCAUCCGCCGCCAUCACCUCAUGUUUCAGCAUGAUAAUGCUGAAUCCAUGUCACAAGGAUCUGUACACAAUUCCUGGAAGCUGAAAAUGUUCCAGUUCUUCCAUGGCCUACAUACUCACCAGACAUCUCACCACCCAUUGAGCAUCUUUGGGAUGUUCUGGAUCAACAUGUACGACAGCGUGUUCCAGUUCCCGCCAAUAUCCAGCAACUUCCCCCAGCCAUGGAAGAGGAGCGGGACAACAUUCCUCUGGCCACGAUCAACAGCCUGAUCAACUCUAUGUGAAGGAGAUGUGUCACGCUGCAUUAGGCAAACGAUGGUCAGACCAGAUGCUGACUGGUUUUAUGAUCCACGCCUUACCUUUUUUUUUUAAAGGUAUCUAUGACCAACAGAUGCAUAUCUGUAUUCCCAGUCAUGUGAAAUCCAUAGAUUAGGGCCUAAUUAAUAUAUUUCAAUUGACUGAUUUCCUGAUAUGAACUGUGACUCAGUAAAAUCUUUGAAAUUGUUGCAUGCUGCAUUUAUAUUCUGGUUCAGUGUAGUAUUUGAACCCAGGUCUGAUCCAUACUCCUCUGUAACGUCAUGUAUAUGCUGUGACAGCAAACGUGCUCUGAAAUACUCUUCAUGUCUCUGAAACAAUAAAACCUUCAUGAGUAA